rnacentral:lncRNA from 1 species
UUUUACACUAAUGACGGAUUCUUUCAUUGGCUUGGUUGGUUACUUGAAUAGUCCAAGUCACCUAUUGUAACGGCUCCGGAAAUUUAAAUGAAAUGUAUGUAUUAGAAAUCUCAAAUGCGAAAGCGUAAUAAAAAUUUUGAUUAAUAUCCCUUACACAAUAACCAAAACGUACUCAAAACAUGAAGGAACAAAUUAACUAAAAGAGAUACUUGAAAUAAGAACUAUAAAUAUAACUAUGAAGUCUUUAGGUAUCCCCUUCGCCGUCUUCCUGCGGAACGGGCUCGGGAACGUCUUCCUGAUCUGAAAUGGUUAAAUAAGAAAUAAACUACACCAGCCCAGUAAAGAUAUCACACUAUCUCACCGCCACGGACGUAAAGGUGGGUAGAAAAUAAAAAUGACAAAUGGAGCAUAAUUUAUAACAAACUCGUUUAUUAACAUAAAAACCUUUACUGUCCACUUACCUCGGUGAGAUCCAUGAAAACAACAUAUGAAAGCAAUAACA